UGUGUCUGCUCAUUUUGAAUGGACAUCUCAAGGCUUUGGCCUCUUCCUUACUUGCAGAGCUUCUGUCUGAAGUGUGCAAUGGGAUGAAAUAUUUGAAUGGCACCUGUCUUUCUGUUAUGGAACAUGCCCGUGCAUUGGGUCUCCGCAAGAACACAUUCUUUCAGAGUUUAAAGACUUAAGAAGCUAAUUAUGUGCAUAUGUAUGUUGGGGGAGUGCAUUUCUGCUGUGGAGUCCAAACCAAUGAAGCUUGUUUCUGUACACCUCUGCAUGGGCAAACCUGGAACAGACAUCAUCACAUGACCUGACUACUGAACAGAGUCUGUGGGUCUGGAUCAACAAUGUUGAUAUGAUAAAAUAUUUAAGACCCUAUGUAGUUAAUACUAAGGGCUAAGUAAACAUCAUUAUUAUUGUCAUUUUAAGGUAUGUAAUAUAAUGAUGCUUUCUACUUAAAGUGCACCUAUACUGAGCUGGCCAUGUCUAUGGGACUCAGUAUUUGUAUGAAUAAGGGAAAGCAAUAGAAAAAUGUGUACCAGAAACAUAAA